rnacentral:lncRNA from 1 species
UAAUAUACCUACUUCUUCUUUUUUGGGUUCAGGGGAUUGAUUGUGGAGCACUCCAGGUCUACGCAUGACACGCAUCUCAACACAAGCGCCGCGACGUCGUUUUACUCAGAAUCCUGAUUGCUGCAUGCAGUGUACUGUAGGAGUAAUUUGUAAAGUAGAGGUAACGUGGAGAGGGCGUGCAUGCCCAUCAAGAUCCGCUAAACAAAUCGGUUACAUACAUACACAUGAUACAUCAAGAUCCGCUAAUUAAUCAACGCAUUAAGAAACCGUGCGCCGGUCGCGUUCGGCGCACCUGGACAACUCAACCCAGUCGCCGCAGCUAGCGAGGGGUAGAUACUAGAUAGAGUACGAAUAAGCCUCCCGUUCAAACGCCAAACCAAAACUAUCUUUUGACGGCGAAAGCCAGAGGAGAGCCAUCGUCGGAUCUGGACAAAAGCCGGUAUGGUGAUGGCCAAGUGGGAAAACCGUAGGGAAGAGGGUCAAAGGGCGGCGGGGUCGUCCGGUGCCGUUUCCUGGGGCGAGCAGUUGGUUGACGGCUGCCCGGGCGAGUGGGCUGCUCUGCUGGUGCUGGUGGCGAUGCGUCGUCCGUCGUUGCCGGGGCGGCGAGGCAACGGGCUCCGCCCAGUCGAUUCGCCUCCGGUGGCCGACACGCAAAGAGACUCUGAUGAUGGUGACGCCUUCUCGAUCUAGUAUUAGAAAAGAACAAAAGGUUUGGGUGACAGAGAUGCGUCGCUGUGGAUGGCUUUCCGUCAGUUAACCUCCUAAUCUCUCUC